UACGUAGGGGCUAGCGUUGUCCGGAAUCAUUGGCGUAAAGAGCGUGUAGGCGGUCCGGUAAGUCCGCUGUGAAAGUCGGGGGCUCAACCUCGAAUGCCGGUGGAUACUGUCGGGCUAGAGUGCGGAAGAGGCGAGUGGAAUUCCUGGUGUAGCGGUGAAAUGCGCAGAUAUCAGGAGGAACACCUAUUGCGAAGGCAGCUCGCUGGGACGUAACUGACGCUGAGACGCGAAAGCGUGGGGAGCAAACAGG
rnacentral:rRNA from 1 species